UACGUAGGGUGCGAGCGUUGUCCGGAAUUAUUGGGCGUAAAGAGCGCGCAGGCGGCUUGGCAAGUCGGGUGUGAAAUCCCGGGGCUCAACCCCGUGACUGCAUCCGAUACUGUCAGGCUAGAGGUAGGUAGGGGAGAUCGGAAUUCCUGGUGUAGCGGUGAAAUGCGCAGAUAUCAGGAGGAACACCGGUGGCGAAGGCGGAUCUCUGGGCCUUACCUGACGCUGAGAAGCGAAAGCAUGGGGAGCGAACAGG
rnacentral:rRNA from 1 species